UACGGAGGGUGCGAGCGUUGUCCGGAAUCAUUGGGCGUAAAGGGCGCGUAGGUGGCCCGGUCAGUCUUUGGUGAAAGCGCGGGGCUCAACCCUGCGUCGGCCAGGGAUACUGCCGCGGCUCGAGCACUGUAGAGGCAGGCGGAAUUCCGGGUGUAGCGGUGGAAUGCGUAGAUAUCCGGAGGAACACCGGUGGCGAAGGCGGCUUCCUGGACCGACACUGACGCUGAGGCGCGAAAGCUAGGGGAGCAAACGGG
rnacentral:rRNA from 1 species